AGAACGGACAUAGGAUGAACACAGAGCGCAUAAGCUCCCAGCUCCAGGAAACAGCUAUAAAAGGCAAAAUUUACCGGUAGCUAACGGUAACUGAACUAAACGCUCAGGCUCCGAUGCUGGUGCUGCUCCUCAUUUCUGUCUCUCUCCUCCUUAUUCCUUUGCUCUUCUUCUUCUUCUUCCUCCUCACUGGCGAUGGUACUUCUUCAAUGCCUAGCUUUUAUCUACUCUGUAUCUGCUUUUUCUUUAUCUUCCUUCCUUUUUAUGAAAUUGUGUAAAUUUUAGGGGACUUCACGUUGAUGUCCAAGAGGCAUGUAAAGCGGGAAGAAAUCGAGGAUAAAGUAUCUUGAAUUUUCAAUACAUGUGAAACAUUGUUUAAUUGAUGUUUAAACUUCUAUUUUUUUUUUUAAAUUUAAUUUCAGGUUGUUUGGAUUACUGGAGCUAGCCGUGGAAUUGGUGAGAGUCUUGCUAAACAAUUGGCAAGUUUAGGUGCCAAACUCAUUCUUUCUGCUCGGGAUGAAGCUGCAUUGGAGCGAGUUAAGAAGCAACUUACAGGUGUAUCCAUUCAUCUGAUGCUGCAGGAAGCCUUCAUUCCUUAUUGGUUCUUUCCUAUUCUUGACAUGUGGUUGGCACAUCCACAGGCAAGUAUGCACCUGAUGAAGUGAAGAUUUUACCUUUGGAUUUGGCAUCUGGCGAAGAUUCUCUUAGAGAGGCUGUGGAAAAAGCAGAGUCCUUUUUCUCAGGAGCUGGUGUUGAUUAUAUGAUCCAUAAUGCAGCCUAUGAGCGCCCUGUAAGCAGAUAUUUCUAAUUUGGGAUUUUGAGAUAUCACUGUUGAUGCAUUUGACUCGUUAAAUAUGUUAUUUGUGGAUGUGUAAAACUAACCAAUAAUGUUUCAUGAGGUCUUGAAAGAUCUCAAAGAAGCCAUACAAUUGUAUGUUUGUUUGUUGGGGAAAGGUAAGUGAAUUACAUGGUAGUAGAACAGAUUAGAAAAGAGGAUAUUGGCUAUUAUAGACAAGUAAAUAUCAAUUUGAAAAGGACUGUACAGUAUGGGGUAAACCUGUGAUAGAAAAAUGGAUUUUAUCUGAACCUUCUGUUCUUUAGCCUACUAUUACCAUGAAUGAAGUAGCAUUAUGUCUUUACUGAUUGCAUAAGUCACACAUUUUUAUUUUGGUGCUCAUGUUAAGAUGUGAGGAUCUUUGGUCACUAGCAUUGGCAAUCAAUAUGCAGUUCUCCAUGUUGCAAAGGGAAACAGAAAGUUUUUCCUUUUUAAAUGAUUUACCAUUGAAUGAAAUAUGUGAUUUUGAUGCCAACAUGGUAUUAUCAAUGACUCUAUUUUAUCUUUUAAUGCAUACAAAAUGUAGAUUAGUUGCUAGGUUAUGGAGUAUAUGUUACAAAGUACAAUUCCUUUUAAGGUUCCUAGAAAUGUUAUUCUAAGUUCGACUUCCAUGUUUGCUGGUGAGGUUGAAUUGAUUUUUAAAUGAUCAAAUAUAUUAUAUUUGGAUGUAAUUGUUUUCAUGCUAGUCCAUUCUUAUGCAAAUGCAAAUCAAUGGCUUGACAUGAAAGAUCAAAUAUUUGUCCAAAAAGGCAAGUGACGAAAAAAGGUGGUGCAUGCAUUCUUGGCUAUAAAUUGAAUAUUCAGCAGUUACUCCCAGGUUACAGUAACAUUAUUCAUGCUUUGUCUUUUAUGCAUAAAUGUACCUUUGCUAAUAUUCGUAUGGAGUGGUUUAUAUUUUGAGCAGAUAAUGACUUCUUAGUGAUUCAUCUUUUUUCUUUUGAGCAGAAAUCAACAGCUCUAGAUGUAACUGAAGAAAGUCUCAAGGUAACAUAUGAAUGAAACUCUAAGGCAUCUGAUGAUUAGAUCUAUUGCAAUCAUUAUUUCUGAAACAGCUUACCCAUUAAUCAGUCAGCUAUAUACUGCCUGAACAGUCACACUUUAAGUCUAAUCAACAGGAUAUAUUUAUGCAAGGAUUGCUAAUGUACUACCUGGUCUUUUUUCUUUUGAUCUAAACUUACAAAGGUACAUUUCUUUUUGAAUAAGGCUACAUUCAACAUUAAUGUUCUGGGGACAAUAUCUCUUACAAGGCUACUGGCAACUUUCAUGCUUAAGCGAGGGAGGGGCCAUUUUGUUGU
rnacentral:misc_RNA from 1 species